rnacentral:rRNA from 1 species
ACUCAAAUGAAUUGACGGGGGCCCGCACAAGCAGCGGAGCAUGUGGUUUAAUUCGAAGCAACGCGAAGAACCUUACCAGGUCUUGACAUCCAGGUAAAGCGGCAGAGAUGCCGUGUGCCUUCGGGCAAUCUGAGACAGGUGGUGCAUGGUUGUCGUCAGCUCGUGUCGUGAGAUGUUGGGUUAAGUCCCGCAACGAGCGCAACCCUUGCGAUUGGUUGCUAACAGGUAAAGCUGAGAACUCCAAUAGGACUGCCGGGGACAACUCGGAGGAAGGUGGGGACGACGUCAAAUCAUCAUGCCCCUUAUGACCUGGGCUACACACGUGCUACAAUGGCCACUACAGAGAGGGACAAAGCCGUAAGGCGGAGUGGAUCUGAGAAAAGUGGCCUCAGUUCGGAUUGUGGGCUGCAACCCGCCCACAUGAAGUCGGAGUUGCUAGUAAUCGCGAAUCAGCAUGUCGCGGUGAAUACGUUCCCGGGCCUUGUACACACCGCCCGU